GACGAACGCUGGCGGCGUGCUUAACACAUGCAAGUCGAACGGUGAAGCGCCUUCCUUUUUGGUGGGUGUGGAUGAGUGGCGAACGGGUGAGUAACACGUGAGUAACCUGCCCCCUUCUUCUGGAUAACCGCAUGAAAGUGUGGCUAAUACGGGAUAUUCUGGGUCUGUCGCAUGAUGGGUCUGGGAAAGAUAUUGUUUCGGUGGGGGAUGGGCUCGCGGCCUAUCAGCUUGUUGGUGGGGUGAUGGCCUACCAAGGCGGUGACGGGUAGCCGGCCUGAGAGGGUGGACGGUCACACUGGGACUGAGACACGGCCCAGACUCCUACGGGAGGCAGCAGUGGGGAAUAUUGCACAAUGGGCGCAAGCCUGAUGCAGCGACGCCGCGUGAGGGAUGGAGGCCUUCGGGUUGUGAACCUCUUUCGCCAGUGAAGCAGGCCUGCCUCGUUUGUGGGUGGGUUGACGGGAGCUGGAUAAGAAGCGCCGGCUAACUACGU
rnacentral:rRNA from 1 species